UGGGGAAUUUUGGACAAUGGGGGAAACCCUGAUCCAGCCAUCCCGCGUGUGCGAUGAAGGCCUUCGGGUUGUAAAGCACUUUUGGCAGGAAAGAAACGUCAUGGGUUAAUACCCCGUGAAACUGACGGUACCUGCAGAAUAAGCACCGGCUAACUACGUGCCAGCAGCCGCGGUAAUACGUAGGGUGCAAGCGUUAAUCGGAAUUUCUGGGCGUAAAGCGUGCGCAGGCGGUUCGGAAAGAAAGAUGUGAAAUCCCAGAGCUCAACUUUGGAACUGCAUUUUUAACUACCGGGCUAGAGUGUGUCAGAGGGAGGUGGAAUUCCGCGUGUAGCAGUGAAAUGCGUAGAUAUGCGGAGGAACACAGAUGGCGAAGGCAGCCUCCUGGGAUAACACUGACGCUCAUACACGAAAGCGUGGGGGGCAAACAGG
rnacentral:rRNA from 1 species